UCGCUGUUAGCACCGUACCUUCAAAGAUAAAAACGAUACAGAGAAGAUUAGUAUUAUGACAUUCGCUCAAGAAUGACAAGUAGAAAUCGAGAAAUGGUUCAACAUUUU
rnacentral:snRNA from 1 species